rnacentral:piRNA from 1 species
UACACAGAACGAACGGGGCAGAGAGGUG